UACGAAGGGGGCGAGCGUUAUUCGGAAUCACUGGGCGUAAAGCGUGCGUAGGCGGUUUUGUAAGUUGGAAGUGAAAGCCCAGGGCUUAACCUUGGAAUUGCUUUCAAAACUACAAGACUCGGAUUCGGGAGAGGAUAGCGGAAUUGUCAGUGUAGCAGUGAAAUGCGUAGAUAUUGACAGGAACACCAGUGGCGCAAGCGGCUAUCUGGACCGACAUCGACGCUGAGGCACGAAAGCGUGGGGAUCAAACAGG
rnacentral:rRNA from 1 species